AUUGAACGCUGGCGGCAGGCCUAACACAUGCAAGUCGAGCGGAUGAAGGGAGCUUGCUCCUGGAUUCAGCGGCGGACGGGUGAGUAAUGCCUAGGAAUCUGCCUGGUAGUGGGGGAUAACGUCCGGAAACGGGCGCUAAUACCGCAUACGUCCUGAGGGAGAAAGUGGGGGAUCUUCGGACCUCACGCUAUCAGAUGAGCCUAGGUCGGAUUAGCUAGUUGGUGGGGUAAAGGCCUACCAAGGCGACGAUCCGUAACUGGUCUGAGAGGAUGAUCAGUCACACUGGAACUGAGACACGGUCCAGACUCCUACGGGAGGCAGCAGUGGGGAAUAUUGGACGAUGGGCGAAAGCCUGAUCCAGCCAUGCCGCGUGUGUGAAGAAGGUCUUCGGACUGUAAAGCACUUUAAGUUGGGAGGAAGGGCAGUAAGUUAAUACCUGGCUGUUUUGACGUUACCAACAGAAUAAGCACCGGCUAACUUCGUG
rnacentral:rRNA from 1 species